rnacentral:rRNA from 1 species
GUGGGGAAUUUUGGACAAUGGGCGCAAGCCUGAUCCAGCAAUGCCGCGUGCAGGAAGAAGGCCUUCGGGUUGUAAACUGCUUUUGUACGGAACGAAAAGGCUCUGGUUAAUACCUGGGGCUCAUGACGGUACCGUAAGAAUAAGCACCGGCUAACUACGUGCCAGCAGCCGCGGUAAUACGUAGGGUGCAAGCGUUAAUCGGAGUUACUGGGCGUAAAGCGUGCGCAGGCGGUUUUGUAAGACAGACGUGAAAUCCCCGGGCUCAACCUGGGAAUGGCGUUUGUGACUGCAAAGCUGGAGUGCGGCAGAGGGGGAUGGAAUUCCGCGUAUAGCAGUGAAAUGCGUAGAUAUGCGGAGGAACACCGAUGGCGAAGGCAAUCCCCUGGGCCUGCACUGACGCUCAUGCACGAAAGCGUGGGGAGCAAACAGGAUUAGAAACCCGUGUAGUCC